rnacentral:rRNA from 1 species
GACGAACGCUGGCGGCGUGCUUAACACAUGCAAGUCGAACGAAGAGCGAUGGAAGCUUGCUUCUAUCAAUCUUAGUGGCGAACGGGUGAGUAACGCGUAAUCAACCUGCCCUUCAGAGGGGGACAACAGUUGGAAACGACUGCUAAUACCGCAUACGAUCUAAUCUCGGCAUCGAGGAUAGAUGAAAGGUGGCCUCUACAUGUAAGCUAUCACUGAAGGAGGGGAUUGCGUCGGAUUGGCUAGUUGGAGGGGUAACGGCCCACCAAGGCGAUGAUCAGUAGCCGGUCUGAGAGGAUGAACGGCCACAUUGGGACUGAGACACGGCCCAGACUCCUACGGGAGGCAGCAGUGGGGAAUCUUCCGCAAUGGACGAAAGUCUGACGGAGCAACGCCGCGUGAGUGAUGACGGCCUUCGGGUUGUAAAGCUCUGUUAAUCGGGACGAAAGGCCUUCUUGCGAAUAGUGAGAAGGAUUGACGGUACCGGAAGAGAAAGCCACGGCUAACUACGUG